CGGCGGAGGGCAUGGCUUCUUGGGGAUCACAACCGGUGGUUUGUAUAUUGGUACCGGCGGAGGACACGGCUUCUUCACAAUUGGUGGUAUGUAGAUUGGUGGAUGCUCUAUCUUCGGCGGCGGCUUGUAAACCGGAACUGGAGGUGGGUGCUCUAUCUUCGGCGGUGGAAUGACUAUCUUUGGCGGCGGCUUGUGGACUGGAACCGGCGGUGGAUCAACUUUCUUAGGCGGACAAGGCUUCUUCGUUGGUGGUUUGUGGACUGGCACCGGCGGUGGAUCAACUUUCUUAGGCGGACAUGGCUUCUUCGGUAGCUUGUGUACCGGAACGGGAGGUGGGUGCUCUAUCUUUGGCGGGGGCUUGUAAACCGGAACCGGAGGUGGCUUCUCUAUCUUUGGCGGUGGCUUGUAAACCGGAACCGGAGGUGGGUGCUCUAUCUUCGGCGGUUUAGGUGGACAAGGCUUCUUAGGAAUAGGCGGUGGAAGCUCCACCUUUGGUGGUGGCUUGUAAACUGGGACAGGUGGUGGAACCUCUUUCUUAGGCGGUGGAUCGUAAACCGGAACCGGCGGGGGAAUCUCUUUCUUUGGCGGCGGCUCGUAAACUGGUACCGGGGGUGGAACCUCCACAGGAGGACUGUAUUUAGGUGGACAUGGCUUCUUGAGAAACGGUGGAAGUUCCAAAGGUGGAGGUAAAGGGAAAGGAUGAUCAAAGCCCUUAAAAGGAGGCAACUUAGGCAUAGGCCAGAAGAAUUUGGAAACGCAAAUCUCCGGUGAAAAUUUCAGAUUUUGUUUGAGACCCAAAAUGUGUUUAUCCCCGGAUUUGGAUAAAAACACGAUCUUG
rnacentral:lncRNA from 1 species